CUGGCUCAGGAUGAACGCUAGCGGCAGGCUUAACACAUGCAAGUCGAGGGGCAUCGGGAGUAGCAAUACUGCCGGCGACCGGCGCAAGGUGCGUAACGCGUGAGCAACAUGCCCGUAUCAGGGGGAUAAUCCAUGGAAACGUGGUCUAAUACCCCAUAGUAAUUAUGUAAGGCAUCUUAUAUAAUUUAAAGCUUUGGUGGAUACGGAUUGGCUCGCGUGACAUUAGCUGGAUGGUAAGGUAACGGCUUACCAUGGCUACGAUGUCUAGGGGUUCUGAGAGGAAGGUCCCCCACACUGGAACUGAGACACGGUCCAGACUCCUACGGGAGGCAGCAGUGAGGAAUAUUGGACAAUGGAUGGAAAUCUGAUCCAGCCAUGCCGCGUGCAGGAAAGACGGCCCUAUGGGUUGUAAACUGCUUUUGUAUGGGAGCAAUAAGGGCUACGUGUAGUCCGAUGAGAGUACCAUACGAAUAAGCACCGGCUAACUCCGUGCCAGCAGCUGC
rnacentral:rRNA from 1 species